GUCUCGGCCAUGGCUCAGUGGCAGAGCAUCUGCCUUGGAUGAAGAAGGUCCCAGGUUCAAUUGCUGGGAAAGACU